AGUGAACGCUGGCGGUAGGCCUAACACAUGCAAGUCGAACGGCAGCACAGUAAGAGCUUGCUCUUACGGGUGGCGAGUGGCGGACGGGUGAGGAAUACAUCGGAAUCUACUUUUUCGUGGGGGAUAACGUAGGGAAACUUAUGCUAUUACCGCAUACGACCUACGGGUGAAAGCAGGGGAUCUUCGGACCUUGCGCGAUUGAAUGAGCCGAUGUCGGAUUAGCUAGUUGGCGGGGUAAAGGCCCACCAAGGCGACGAUCCGUAGCUGGUCUGAGAGGAUGAUCAGCCACACUGGAACUGAGACACGGUCCAGACUCCUACGGGAGGCAGCAGUGGGGAAUAUUGGACAAUGGGCGCAAGCCUGAUCCAGCCAUACCGCGUGGGUGAAGAAGGCCUUCGGGUUGUAAAGCCCUUUUGUUGGGAAAGAAAAGCAGCAGGUUAAUACCCCGCUGUUCUGACGGUACCCAAAGAAUAAGCACCGGCUAACUUCGUG
rnacentral:rRNA from 1 species